UGUCGAUAGAGUCGUGUCAUCUUACCAUCCAAAGGGAAUGUAUGCAGCCAGCUAUACACUCGUAUCCCCCGUGGACCGAUUUUUUGAGAACCACCUGCAACUGAAUACGGGCAUGUAAAAUACGUUUCUUCCCAAUAGAGAACGAAGAAAGUAUCGGCAAGAAAAGAUAGGUGGUGUGAGGGGCUGGGCAUGGAGCGGACCCUGCAGCUGUACGUUGGGGGGCCCAAGUACAGCGUGGCAAACAGGCAGAUGGACUGCCUCAUGAACUGCUUGUUAGGGCAGUAAGAUAGAGGGGGUGGCCUCAACUGAUUCUGAGGCACUGAGGGGAUUCUGCUGAGCUAGCCUGUGUUGUACCGGGCUAUGGCCCGUAACGUAAGGGGACAAAACCGCGGUGAGGGAGGCCUUCCCAGCUUAAAUCUAACAGUAAUCUGAGCCGCACGGUAAUACUGUUAAUAUCUAUUUUUCAUAAAAUAUUCUGAACAAAAAUGUAAAUGUAACAUGAAACAAUUUCAAAAUUUUUACUGAGUUACAGUUCAUAUGAGGAAAUCAGUCAAUUGAAAUGAAUACAUUAGGCCUUAAUCUAUGGAUUUCACAUGACUGGGAAUACAGAUAUACAUCUGUUGGUCACAAAGCUUAAAAAUGGGCCUUGCAUUGGGCCUCAAGAUCUCGUCACGGUAUAUCUGUGCAAUUGUGUUUGUUGUCCGUAGCUUAUGCCUGCCCAUACCAUAACCCCAUCGCCACCAUGGGGCACUCUGUUCACAACAUUGACAUCAGCAAACUGCUUGCCCACAUGACACCAUACAUGUGGUUUGCGGUUGUGAGGCGGGUUGGACAUACUGCCAAAUUCCCUAAAAUGACGUUGGAGAUGGUUUAAGGUAAAUAAAUUAACAUUAAAUUAUUUGGCAACAGCUCUGGUGGACAUUCCUACAGCCAGCAUGCCAAUUGCACACUCCCUCAAAACCAGAGACAUCUGUGGCAUUGCGUUGUGUGACAAAACUGCACAUUUUAGAGUGGCCUUUUAUUGUCCCCACCACAAGGUGCACCUGUGUAAUGAUCAUGCUGUUUAAUCAGCUUCUUGAUAUGCCACACCUGUCAGGUGAAUGGAUUAUCUUGGCAAAGGAAAAAUGCUCAUUAAGGAGUUAAACAAACGUGUGCACAAAAUUUGAGAGAAAUAAGCUUUUCGUACAUAUAGAACAUUUCUGGGAUCUUUUAUUUCAGCUCAUGAAACAUGGGACCAAGACUUUACAUGAUGCGUUUAUUUUUUUUGUCCACCUGGUGCAAACUCCGCCCAUACGGGCAGCAGGGCCAGCUUAAUCUAAUCCCCUCAGUGGUAGGGUGAUUAAAUAAAUAAAAAAUCCUUAGAAAUCUAUGCACAAUACCCCAUAACGACAAAGCAAAAACAUUUUUUAUUUUUGCAAAUGUUUUAAAAAUAAAAAACUGAAAUACCUUAUUUACAUAAGUAUUCAGACCCUUUGCUUUGAGAAUCGAAAUUGAGCACAGGUGCAUCCUGUUUCCAUUGAUCAUCCUUAAGAUGCUUUUACAACUUGAUUGGAGUACACCUGUGGUAAAUUCAAUUGAUUGGACAUGAUUUGGAAAGGCACACACCUGUCUAUAUAAGGUCUCACAGCAGUGCAUGUCAGAGCAAAACACAGUGGCCUCCAUCAUUCUUAAAUUGAAGAUGUUUGGAACCACCAAGGGCCUUGUUCAGGCAGGUGACCAAGAACCCGAUGGUCACUCUGACAGAUCUCUAGAGUUCCUCUGUGGAGAUGGGAGAAACAGAAGAACAACCGUCUCUGCAGCACUCCAACAAUCAGGCCUUUUAUGGUAGUGUGGACAGACAGAAGCCACUCCUCAGUAAUAAGGCACAUGACAGCCCGCUUGGAAUUUGCCAAAAGGCACCUAAAGACUAAGACCAUGAGAAACAAGAGUCUCUGGUCUGAUGACAUCAAGAAGGAGUUCCUCUACAGCAGAGGUAACUCUGGGUCUUCGUUCGAACAUGCCAAUUGUGUUGUGACAAGGUAAGCCCUAUUUGGUAAAAGAGCAAGUCCAUAUAAUGGCAAGAACAGCUCAAAUAAGCAAAGAGAAACAACAGUCCAUCAUUACUUUAAGACAUGAAGGUCAGUCAAUACAGAAAAUUUCAAGAACUUUGAACAAUUCUUCAAGUGCAGUCGCAAAAAAAACAUCAAGCACUAUGAUGAAACUGGCUCUCAUGAGGACCGCAACAGAAAAGGAAGACCCAGAGUUACCUCUGCUGCACUUCAUUAGUUACCAGCCUAAGAAAUUGCAGCCCAGAUCAAUGCUUCACAGAGUUCAAGUAACAGACACAUCUCAACAUCAACUGUUGAGGAGACUGCGUGAAUCGGCCUUCAUAGUCAAAUUGUGGCAAAGAAACCAUUACUAAAGGACACCAAUAAUAAGAAGAGACUUGCUUGGGCCAAGAAACACGAGUAAUGGAUAUUAGACCGGUGGAAAUCUGCCCUUUGGUCUGAUGAGUCCAAAUUUGAGAUUUUUGGUUCCAACGGCGGUCUCUCUGUGAACGGAUGAUCUCCACAUGUGUGAUUCCCACCGUGAAGCACGGAGGACGUGGUGUGAUGGUGUGGGGGUGUGAUGGUCUGUGAUUUAUUUAGAAUUAAAGGCACACUUAACCAGCUUGGUUGCCACAGCAUUCUGCAGUGAUACUCCAUCCCAUCUGGUUCGCGCUCAGUGCGACUAUCAUUUGUUUUUCAACAGGACAAUGACCCAACCCACCUCCAGGCUGUGUAAGGGCUAUUUGACCAAGAAGGAGAGUGGUGGAGUGAUGCAUCAGAUGACCUGGAAUCCACAAUCACCCGACCUCAACCCAAUUGAGAUGGUUUGGGAUGAGUUGGACUGCAGAGUGAAGGAAAAGCAGUCAACAAGUGCUCAGCAUAUGUGGGAACUCCUUUAAGUCUGUUGGGAAAGCAUUCCAGGUGAUGCUGGUUGAGAGAAUACCAAGAGCGUGCAAAGCUGUGAUCAAGGCAAAGGGUGGCUACUUUGAAGAAUCUCAAAUUUAAAAUAUUUUUUUAUUUGUUUAACAGUUUUUGGGUUAACACAUGUUGAAUUAUGUAGUAUUUCAUAGUGUUGAUGUCUUCACUAUUAUUCUACAAUGUAUAAAAUAUAUUUAAAUAAAGAAAACCCAUUGAAUGUG